AGUCAUGUUGCGGUGCCCACCAUUGAAUGUAUAGAUGGUGUGGAGGGAACGCGGGGAAGUGAAACAUCUCAGUACCCGUAGGAAGAGAAAACAAUAGUGAUUCCGUUAGUAGUGGCGAGCGAACGCGGAACAGCCCAAACCUAACUUGUUACGGCAAGUUAGGGGUUGUAGGGCCACAAUAUUCGAAACUAAGUGAAUUAGAACUGUUUGGAAAGACAGACCAAAGAGGGUGAUAGUCCCGUAUAAGUAAGCGAAGUUUAGAUAGUGGUACCCUGAGUAUUGAGGGACACGAGUAAUCCUGUAUGAACCCACCGGGACCAUCCGGUAAGGCUAAAUACUC
rnacentral:rRNA from 12 species